CAGCCGCCGCGGUAAGACGGAGGGUGCUAGCGUUGUUCGGAAUCACUGGGCGUAAAGGGCGCGUAGGCGGCCUGUUAAGUCGGAUGUGAAAGCCCGGGGCUCAACCCCGGAACUGCAUCCGAGACUGGCAGGCUUGAGACCGGGAGAGGAGGGUGGAAUAUCCAGUGUAGAGGUGAAAUUCGUAGAUAUUGGAUGGAACACCGGUGGCGAAAGCGGCUCUCUGGCCCGGAUCUGACGCUGAGGCGCGAAAGCGUGGGGAGCAAACAGGAUUAGAUACCCCGGUAGUCCCUGUCUCUUAUAC
rnacentral:rRNA from 1 species